rnacentral:lncRNA from 1 species
GCGGCUUCCAGAUACGUUUCUUUUACAAAACCUAAUUCUUUUAAUGCUGCUCCACAAUUAGGGUUUCUUCUUCUUCAAUGUCUCUGUUGAUCCUCCAUCUCUGUGUGUCCUUAUUUUCAUUAUAAAGUUCAAUCUAAAUAGGUAUGUUAUUCAAUCUCAUCUAAAUUGACUUUUCUUUUAAUCAGUGGUCAAAACCUUUCGUAUGAUGAAUUUGUUCAGAUCUGUGUUGAAGGAUGUGCGAACAGAGAUCUAGGGUUAGAUCCGGCAAAAGUUAUGGAUGAUUUUGGAUCUGUUAUUGUGUUAGGAAAUGUCGUGUUGAGGCUGAACAGGGUUUGA